rnacentral:sRNA from 1 species
GUUUCCGUAGGUGAACCUGCGGAAGGAUCAUUGUCGAAACCUACCGAGCAGAACGACCCGCGAACCAGUACAGCAACCAUCGGGUGUGCUUUGUGGCCGGCCUCGCCGCCCCCACUCAGUGCCCCCCUCGCCAGGUGCGCGGCCGCUUAGCCGGCUAAGCACGCCUCGGCGGGAAAACGAACAAAAACCCCGGCGCGAAUUGCGUCAAGGAACUUUAACAAGAGAGAGAGAGAGGCGCGCGGCCCCCCCGUCCGUCCUCGUUCGCGAGCGACGUUGCUUGGGGGGUGCAGCCGCAUCUUCUUUCACGAACAAACGACUCUCGGCAACGGAUAUCUCGGCUCUCGCAUCGAUGAAGAACGUAGCGAAAUGCGAUACUUGGUGUGAAUUGCAGAAUCCCGUGAACCAUCGAGUCUUUGAACGCAAGUUGCGCCCGAAGCCACUAGGCCGAGGGCACGCCUGCCUGGGCGUCUCACAUCGCGUCGCCCCACGCCCGGUUUGGCCCGCGAAGGGUCCCCGGGUUGAUGGGGCGGAGUUUGGCCCCCCGUGCGCCGCCCCGGUGCGCGGUCGGCCCAAAGAUGAGCCCCCGGCGACGAACGUCACGACGAGAUGUGGAUGUGCAAAACCGUUGCGUUGCGUCGUGCACGUGCUGUCCCGGGCCACCGACCCUCUGAGAAGGCACCGCGGUGCCUCGGCGGCGACCCCAGGUCAGGCGGGACUACCCGCUGAGUUUAA